UAAGGAAUAUUGGACAAUGGAGGCAACUCUGAUCCAGUCAUGCCGCGUGAAGGAAUAAGGCCCUAUGGGUUGUAAACUUCUUUUAGACGGGACAAAACCCCUUUACGUGUAAAGGGUUGAUGGUACUGUCAGAAUAAGCAUCGGCUAACUUCGUGCCAGCAGCCGCGGUAAUACGAAGGAUGCAAGCGUUAUCCGGAAUUAUUGGGUUUAAAGGGUGCGUAGGCGGACUAAUAAGUCAGUGGUGAAAGCCUGCAGCUUAACUGCAGAAUUGCCAUUGAUACUGUUAGUCUUGAGUACAGUGGAGGUAGGCGGAAUGUGUCAUGUAGCGGUGAAAUGCUUAGAUAUGACACAGAACACCUAUUACGAAGGCAGCUUGCUAAGCUGUAACUGACGCUGAGGCACGAAAGCGUGGGGAGCAAACA
rnacentral:rRNA from 1 species